rnacentral:rRNA from 1 species
AAAAUAAAGUCAAAAAUUUUUCUAAAAAAUAUUUGGUGUAUAACUAAAAAGUAGUGUAUAUUUGCAGCCGCUUACAGACUGAGCGAGUUCCCAGAAAUAUUGAAAAGAAAUCCCGGGUGGGUGCGUAAAGCGAUAGGGUUCGAGUCCUUAGGUUUCGGCAAGAAUAUCCCGAAUAAAAUCGGGGAAGUUCAUUGAUUUAUUGAAUUGACAGCGCGUACAUUUUUCGAGAGAAGAAUGAUACAAAUAAUUUAGAAUUAAGACUAGAGAAGUCAUCUUUGAGUACAGACGUUUGAUUGUUGUAAUUAUAUUAAGAAACAACGAUGAAGAGUUUGAUCCUGGCUCAGGAUGAACGCUAGCGGCAGGCCUAACACAUGCAAGUCGAGGGGUAACAUUGGUGCUUGCACCAGAUGACGACCGGCGCACGGGUGCGUAACGCGUAUACAACCUACCUUUUAGCAGGGAAUAGCCCAGGGAAACUUGGAUUAAUGCCCUAUAGUAUGGUGAUCUCUCCUGAGAUUAUCAUUAAACAUUUAUGGCUAUUAGAUGGGUAUGCGUCCUAUUAGUUAGUUGGUAAGGUAACGGCUUACCAAGGCAGCGAUAGGUAGGGGUCCUGAGAGGGAGAUCCCCCACACUGGUACUGAGACACGGACCAGACUCCUACGGGAGGCAGCAGUGAGGAAUAUUGGACAAUGGGCGAGAGCCUGAUCCAGCCAUGCCGCGUGCAGGAAGACUGCCCUAUGGGUUGUAAACUGCUUUUACAGAGGAAGAACCACUCCCACGUGUGGGAGUUUGACGGUACUCUGCGAAUAAGGAUCGGCUAACUCCGUGCCAGCAGCCGCGGUAAUACGGAGGAUCCAAGCGUUAUCCGGAAUCAUUGGGUUUAAAGGGUCCGUAGGCGGGCAGUUAAGUCAGUGGUGAAAGUCUUCCGCUCAACGGGAGAACUGCCAUUGAUACUGAUUGCCUUGAGUUAUUAUGAAGUGGUUAGAAUGAGUAGUGUAGCGGUGAAAUGCAUAGAUAUUACUCAGAAUACCGAUUGCGAAGGCAGAUCACUAAUAAUAUACUGACGCUGAUGGACGAAAGCGUAGGUAGCGAACAGGAUUAGAUACCCUGGUAGUCUACGCCGUAAACGAUGGUUACUAGCUGUUCGGAUCGAUUAAGAUCUGAGUGGUUAAGCGAAAGUGAUAAGUAACCCACCUGGGGAGUACGUUCGCAAGAAUGAAACUCAAAGGAAUUGACGGGGGCCCGCACAAGCGGUGGAGCAUGUGGUUUAAUUCGAUGAUACGCGAGGAACCUUACCAGGGCUUAAAUGUAGUCUGACAGGAGUGGAAACACUUUUUUCUUCGGACAGAUUACAAGGUGCUGCAUGGUUGUCGUCAGCUCGUGCCGUGAGGUGUCAGGUUAAGUCCUAUAACGAGCGCAACCCCUGUGGUUAGUUGCCAGCGAGUAAUGUCGGGAACUCUAGCCAGACUGCCGGUGCAAACCGUGAGGAAGGUGGGGAUGACGUCAAAUCAUCACGGCCCUUACGUCCUGGGCCACACACGUGCUACAAUGGUAGGGACAGAGAGCAGCCACUUCGCGAGAAGGAGCGAAUCUACAAACCCUAUCACAGUUCGGAUCGCAGUCUGCAACUCGACUGCGUGAAGCUGGAAUCGCUAGUAAUCGCAUAUCAGCCAUGAUGCGGUGAAUACGUUCCCGGGCCUUGUACACACCGCCCGUCAAGCCAUGGAAGCUGGGGGUACCUGAAGUCGGUCA